GAACUUAAAUUUUCUUUCAGAUUGUUUCUGUGACUCCAAACUUUCAAUACAAACAUGCUCAAGAUGUUUCUGAGGAUUUCAUCUAUUUCUCCCCUAUUGAUGUGGAAGUUCGGGAUAAGUCCAGAAGACAAAAACAACAGAAACCAAGUAUGGCCCCCUGACAACACACUCAAGAAUGUAUCCAUUAGAGGGCCCUGGGGAUUAUCAGUCCAGUGGUAAUGGUUACCACCUCCCCACUAACUAAGGAGUUAGAAGGAAUAGCCCUUAUAAAACCAAAAACAUUUUAGGGUUUCUUCACCUAGAGAAAAUGACAGUUAAAUCUCCAAGGAUCCUAGAAUCCCAACACAUAGAUGUUACAGAAAUUGACAGUCCAGAGCAAAGGGGAAAGGAUGCCACAGUAUUGUUGCUCUUGUACCUGGAAAGGAGGAGCUAGAUAAUACAGAAAUUCCAACUUUGAAAUUCACUGGGUUUAUACACCUGGAAGCUUUAACAAAUAAUUGUUCAGUAUCCUCUGGAUAGAGUCACCCACAAACUCCAAAAAAUCUGGAAUCUCCAGAAAAUGCAGAGCCCCCAGGAAGUGAUGAACUGGAAGUAGUAAGAAGCGUCAUGUAUUCUCUUAGAGAAAGACCAUCUUUUGGCAGUUCCUGGGCAGAGCUCCUGGAAGCACUGCUGAUUGGUGAAAGGAUCCACAUUCUCCAAACUAUUCUGACAGAAGAGGAGAGAGAGAUUGGCUACCUCCAGCUACCACCAGAAGAGGAGAAUCAAGCAACUACCAUACUCAAGGGUGACCAUCUCCAUGCUUUGGAAGGCCCUUUUCCAUUGCUGCCCCCAGCAUCUUAAGUUCCAUUGGUGGCACAGUCACAGACUGCCAGGAUACAGCGAUGUCAGGAGCUGAAAACUAAAUGCACCAAAGUUAAAUGCAACAGAGUUAACAUCCAGAAGAGAAAUGCUUCUUCUUCUCAAAUGAUCAUAAUUUGUUCACAGAAGGUAAGAUUGAAAAUGCAAAUGAAAGAGACAGCAUUAAAGAAGCUUGGCAAAAGGCCAUUUUGUCAGGUUCUGUAGACUAUUUUCCUAUCAAUUCAAGCUUUUAGAAUUCUUCUGAAAUUUGGGGUAAAAUUAGAAUUCCUGAAGAUAGUACUGGACUUCCCAGGAACAAUGUUAGAAUUCCCAGAAAUAAUGUCAGUAUUCCUAUGGUUAAUGUUGGAAUUCCCAUGGAUAAUCCUGAAGUUCAUGGAGGCAAUGCUGAAGUUCAUCAUAAGUUUAAUGUUGAGGUUCCUACGAAUAAUGCUGGGGCUCCAAGAGGCAAUGCUGGAGUGCUCAUGUGUAAUCUUGAAGUUCCUAGAGGCAAUGGUAGUGUUCCCAAGGGCAGUGGUGUUGGGGUUCCCAUGGGUAAUGUUGAAACUCUCAGGCAUAAUGUUGGAACUUCCAGCAGACAUACUGUAUCCUCUCCACCUCCUGAGCUCUCAGAGAUAGGUGAUCUCCAAUUAUAA
rnacentral:sRNA from 1 species